CAGUCGCCGCGGUAAUACGUAGGGUGCAAGCGUUAAUCGGAAUUACUGGGCGUAAAGCGCACGCAGGCGGUCUGACAAGUCAGAUGUGAAAUCCCCGGGCUUAACCUGGGAACUGCAUUUGAAACUGUCAGGCUGGAGUCUUGUAGAGGGGGGUGGAAUUCCAGGUGUAGCGGUGAAAUGCGUAGAGAUCUGGAGGAAUACCGGUGGCGAAGGCGGCCCCCUGGACAAAGACUGACGCUCAGGUGCGAAAGCGUGGGGAGCAAACAGGAUUAGAGACCCCGGUAGUCCCUGUCUCUUAUAC
rnacentral:rRNA from 1 species